rnacentral:rRNA from 1 species
AAAUGAAUUGACGGGGGCCCGCACAAGCGGUGGAGCAUGUGGUUUAAUUCGACGCAACGCGAAGAACCUUACCAGGUUUUGACAUCCCUUGACAAGCUAAGAGAUUAGCCGUUCAUCCUUCGGGAUGACAAGGAGACAGGUGGUGCAUGGUUGUCGUCAGCUCGUGUCGUGAGAUGUUGGGUUAAGUCCCGCAACGAGCGCAACCCUUAUUCUUAGUUGCCAUCAGGUAAGGCUGGGCACUCUAAGGAGACUGCCGGUGACAAACCGGAGGAAGGUGGGGAUGACGUCAAAUCAUCAUGCCCUUUAUGACCUGGGCAACACACGUGCUACAAUGGCCUGUACAAAGGGUAGCGAAGCCGUGAGGUGGAGCCAAUCCCAAAAAGCAGGUCUCAGUUCGGAUUGCAGGCUGCAACUCGCCUGCAUGAAGUCGGAAUCGCUAGUAAUCGCGGAUCAGCACGCCGCGGUGAAUACGUUCCCGGGCCUUGUACACACCGCCCGU